CCUACGGGAGGCAGCAGUGGGGAAUAUUGCACAAUGGGGGAAACCCUGAUGCAGCGACGCCGCGUGAGUGAGGAAGUAUUUCGGUAUGUAAAGCUCUAUCAGCAGGGAAGAAAAUGACGGUACCUGACUAAGAAGCCCCGGCUAACUACGUGCCAGCAGCCGCGGUAAUACGUAGGGGGCAAGCGUUAUCCGGAUUUACUGGGUGUAAAGGGAGCGUAGACGGUUAAUCAAGUCAGAAGUGAAAACCCAGGGCUCAACCUUGGGACUGCUUUUGAAACUGAGUAGCUAGAGUGCAGGAGAGGUAAGCGGAAUUCCUAGUGUAGCGGUGAAAUGCGUAGAUAUUAGGAGGAACCCCGAUUGCGAAGGCAGCCUGCCGCAGCGUUACUGACGCUGAAGCUCGAAAGCGCGGGUAUCGAACAGGAUUAGAUACCCUUGUAGUC
rnacentral:rRNA from 1 species